UACAGAGGGUGCAAGCGUUAAUCGGAAUUACUGGGCGUAAAGCGCACGCAGGCGGUUGGUUAAGUCAGAUGUGAAAGCCCCAGGCUCAACCUGGGACUUGCAUUUGAAACUGGCCAACUAGCGUAGGUGAGAGGGGGGUAGAAUUCCAAGUGUAGCGGUGAAAUGCGUAGAGAUUUGGAGGAAUACCAGUGGCGAAGGCGGCCCCCUGGCACGAUACUGACGCUCAGGUGCGAAAGCGUGGGGAGCAAACAGG
rnacentral:rRNA from 1 species